AACCCGAUCUUAAAAGCCUAAGUA
rnacentral:siRNA from 1 species